AGAGUUUGAUUAUGGCUCAGAACGAACGCUGGCGGCAUGCCUAACACAUGCAAGUCGAACGGGGUCGGAACUUCGGUUCCGGCUUACGUGGCGCACGGGUGAGUAACACGUGGGAAUCUGCCCAUCUAUGGGGAAUAACUGCGGGAAACUGCAGCUAAUACCGCAUACGCCCUUCGGGGGAAAGGCUUCGGCCGUAGAUGGAUGAGCCCGCGUCCGAUUAGCUAGUUGGUGGGGUAACGGCCUACCAAGGCGACGAUCGGUAGCUGGUCUGAGAGGAUGAUCAGCCACACUGGGACUGAGACACGGCCCAGACUCCUACGGGAGGCAGCAGUGGGGAAUAUUGGACAAUGGGCGAAAGCCUGAUCCAGCAAUGCCGCGUGAGUGAUGAAGGUCUUCGGAUUGUAAAGCUCUUUCGACGGGGAAGAUAAUGACGGUACCCGUAGAAGAAGCCCCGGCUAACUUCGUGCCAGCAGCCGCGGUAAUACGAAGGGGGCUAGCGUUGUUCGGAUUUACUGGGCGUAAAGCGUGCGUAGGCGGCUUAUCAAGUCAGAAGUGAAAGCCCGGGGCUCAACUCCGGAACUGCUUUUGAGACUGGUAGGCUGGAGUUCGGGAGAGGGUAGUGGAAUUCCCAGUGUAGAGGUGAAAUUCGUAGAUAUUGGGAAGAACACCGGUGGCGAAGGCGGCUGCCUGGCCCCGAAACUGACGCUGAGGCACGAAAGCGUGGGGAGCAAACAGGAUUAGAUACCCCUGGUAGUC
rnacentral:rRNA from 1 species